GAAAUGCGAUAAGUAAUGUGAAUUGCAGAAUUCAGUGAAUCAUCGAAUCUUUGAACGCAGCUUGCGCUCCUUGGUAUUCCUUGGAGCAUGCCUGUUUGAGUAUCAUGAAAUCUUCAAAGUAAAUCUUUUGUUAACUCGAUUGGUUUCUACUUUGGUAUUGGAGGUCUUUGCAGCUUCACACCUGCUCCUCUUUGUUCAUUAGCUGGAUCUCAGUGUUAUGCUUGGUUCCACUAGGCGUGAUAAGUUAUCUAUCGCUGAGGACACUGUAAAAGGUGGCCAAGGUAAAUGCAGAUGAACCGCUUCUAAUAGUCCAUUGACUUGGACAAUACUUUUAUGAUCUGAUCUCAAAUCAGGUAGGACUACCCGCUGAACUUAAGC
rnacentral:misc_RNA from 1 species